AUGAGAACUUCAUCUCCUUGCUCAGCACGCCACCAGACUCCGUCCCCCAUAAGACACCAGUCCAACCUCGUAACCAACGGCGACAGAUCCAAAUCCAGAAGGAGCGGCGGCCACUGUGAGGAAUCCAAAAUGGACACCUCUGUGAAGAGGAAUAGUAGUGCAGAGAGCCCGGAACCAUCUACUGUACAGACGGCGAGAAACAAGGAGAAACCUCUGGUCGAUGCUGGGACCAGUAAGGGCGCAGGGAAUGAGACUUCAGGGAAGGUGUCUGCCGGUGCUACUAAUGCUGAGGAGGCGUCCAGGCUGCUGGCUGAGCGCCGGCGCCAGGCCCGGGAGCACAAGGAGCUGGAGGACAAGCGGCAACAGCAGGAGAAGGAGGAGCGCCUGAAGGCAGAAGCACUGAGGAGGGAGCUGCAGAAGAGGCUUCGGCUGGAGAAGGAGGAGAGGGACAAACAGGAGGAACUCAUCCGACAGCGUGAGGAAGAGGAGAAGAAACGACAGAAGGAGGCGCAGGACAAGGAGCUGCAGAUCCAGAAGGAGAUAGAGGUCAGAGUUGGUCCAUCUUUCUAUUUGUUUGUACUCAUGCAUUAA
rnacentral:lncRNA from 1 species